GGGGAUUAGUGGCGAACGGGUGAGUAACACGUGGGCAAUCUGCCCUGCACUCUGGGACAAGCCCUGGAAACGGGGUCUAAUACCGGAUAUGACUGUCCAUCGCAUGGUGGAUGGUGUAAAGCUCCGGCGGUGCAGGAUGAGCCCGCGGCCUAUCAGCUUGUUGGUGAGGUAGUGGCUCACCAAGGCGACGACGGGUAGCCGGCCUGAGAGGGCGACCGGCCACACUGGGACUGAGACACGGCCCAGACUCCUACGGGAGGCAGCAGUGGGGAAUAUUGCACAAUGGGCGAAAGCCUGAUGCAGCGACGCCGCGUGAGGGAUGACGGCCUUCGGGUUGUAAACCUCUUUCAGCAGGGAAGAAGCGAAAGUGACGGUACCUGCAGAAGAAGCGCCGGCUAACUACGUGCCAGCAGCCGCGGUAAUACGUAGGGCGCAAGCGUUGUCCGGAAUUAUUGGGCGUAAAGAGCUCGUAGGCGGCUUGUCACGUCGGUUGUGAAAGCCCGGGGCUUAACCCCGGGUCUGCAGUCGAUACGGGCAGGCUAGAGUUCGGUAGGGGAGAUCGGAAUUCCUGGUGUAGCGGUGAAAUGCGCAGAUAUCAGGAGGAACACCGGUGGCGAAGGCGGAUCUCUGGGCCGAUACUGACGCUGAGGA
rnacentral:rRNA from 1 species